rnacentral:rRNA from 1 species
GACGAACGCUGGCGGCGUGCCUAAUACAUGCAAGUCGAACGCUUCUUUCCUCCCGAGUGCUUGCACUCAAUUGGAAAGAGGAGUGGCGGACGGGUGAGUAACACGUGGGUAACCUACCCAUCAGAGGGGGAUAACACUUGGAAACAGGUGCUAAUACCGCAUAACAGUUUAUGCCGCAUGGCAUAAGAGUGAAGGGCGCUUUCGGGUGUCGCUGAUGGAUGGACCCGCGGUGCAUUAGCUAGUUGGUGAGGUAACGGCUCACCAAGGCCACGAUGCAUAGCCGACCUGAGAGGGUGAUCGGCCACACUGGGACUGAGACACGGCCCAGACUCCUACGGGAGGCAGCAGUGGGGAAUCUUCGGCAAUGGACGAAAGUCUGACCGAGCAACGCCGCGUGAGUGAAGAAGGUUUUCGGAUCGUAAAACUCUGUUGUUAGAGAAGAACAAGGACGUUAGUAACUGAACGUCCCCUGACGGUAUCUAACCAGAAAGCCACGGCUAACUACGUG